rnacentral:rRNA from 1 species
UACAGAGGUCUCAAGCGUUGUUCGGAUUCAUUGGGCGUAAAGGGUGCGUAGGCGGCGCGGUAAGUCGGGUGUGAAAUCUCGGAGCUUAACUCCGAAACUGCAUUCGAUACUGCCGUGCUUGAGGACUGGAGAGGAGACUGGAAUUUACGGUGUAGCGGUGAAAUGCGUAGAUAUCGUAAGGAAGACCAGUGGCGAAGGCGACUUCCUGGCCUGUUCUUGGACGCUGAGGCGCGAAAGCUAGGGGAGCAAACGGG